rnacentral:lncRNA from 1 species
CAGGACUCUACUUGUUAAACCCACGGAGAUGAAGCUCACCAGAAAACUGUCUCAGGUUUGGCCAGGAUUUUUAGGCAUUUGUCAGAAACUGCACAAAGCAAUGAUGGUGUGGAGCACAGAACUGGAGUGGGAGGCAGAGAAUGGAGACAGGAGGAGAGGUGAUGCCUGGGAAGCAGUGUGGAAGUGGUGGUUUUCCUUCAUGUGGCCCAUGAGUGCUCCUGUGGCUCCCAGGGACCCACUGGGCAGUGACCACUGCCUGAGGGAACUGGGCCUGGGCAGUUCAUUUAUUUUCCUUCCCUAAUUUAUUCUUCUCCUUCCCCAGGCUGCCCAAUGGGUGCUGUGGGGACACAGCUGCCCCCCUUGGGGUGACAUCCUGCAUGGGGAGGAAGGGUCUGUCUGUGGAGCUGGUGUGCAGAGGCAGCAGUGCCCGACACUGCCCAGCUCCCCCCCUUCCUAGUGCUCAUUAAUCCUUUAUUCAUAAAAACAUAGAAUUAGUAAGGUUGGAAUUAAGUCUUUUCAGGCUCUCCUCUGUCAAGAAUGUUUCUAAUGUCUUUUAUUUCCUUUCUAAUUUAAUUUAACUGGGAAAUGCACUUUUAUUUUUUUUCUUAUUUCUCUGUUCCUUUAUGAUUAGAGGAAUCCCCAUCUAGUAACUCUGAAUGCUUCUACCGUGGAAAUAUUUAGUACCAGCUUUGGCAUAUUUAUGUUGGCUCCCUGGUUAGACAAUGUGCCAAGCUGUCCUUCGUGGCCUUAAUUAUCACAACUUCAGGCCAGCAUUGCCUGCUUACAGCAUAAUCCCACGGCCUAGAGUGAACCCUGAAAAUGCUUAAUUAAAUGACAUUCCACAACAGAUUAAGGAGUCAGAAGCCCAAGAUAAAGAAAAAGGGAGACUGUGACCAUAGGAGUGGCAGGUGCUCUUCCUUCUCGGGAUAAUGCUCCUGACAUGGACUGUUUAGUUUUGAGCACACAAAAAAACCCCCAAUGUUAUUUAAUAACAGUUUGGGGUCUUCACUUGGCUUCUUGCAUUUUCAGUGGUUCAGACAGAUCCUGCCUUGGGACGCAGUGUGAAUAGCACUGAUUUAACAUCAGCUGAGGAUCUGUGCUCAGGUCAUUUGUUUGGGUACUUGGAUGAGGCCCUUUGCCAAAGUCAGUGGAUGCCUUUGCAGUUCUGAGAUCCAGGGUGAGCACUUGGAUCAGACACCACAAAUCUGUUGCUUUAUAAAAAACAAACAAACAAACCAACCAAACAAAAAACCCAAACCAAAACAAAAAACCCCAAAAACAUAUAUUAAAAAAAAACCCCA